rnacentral:rRNA from 1 species
UACGUAGGGUGCGAGCGUUGUCCGGAAUUAUUGGGGCGUAAAGGGCUCGUAGGCGGUUUGUCGCGUCGGGAGUGAAAAUCCAGGGCUUAACUCUGGACUGGCUUCCGAUACGGGCAGACUAGAGGUAUGCAGGGGAGAACGGAAUUCCUGGUGUAGCGGUGAAAUGCGCAGAUAUCAGGAGGAACACCGGUGGCGAAGGCGGUUCUCUGGGCAUUACCUGACGCUGAGGAGCGAAAGUGUGGGGAGCGAACAGG